rnacentral:tRNA from 1 species
AACUAGGAAGAGGAUUUGAACCUCUGGUAAAAAGGGCUUAGGCCUUUCGCAAUUUACCGUGCUCUGCCAUCCAAGU